GUUGGGUCGGAUAUAUUAGUUACAGAUCGUGAAUGCGGCUUCUUCCUACAAGAAUGUUAUCUUAUACUAUAUAAAUCAUAUACUGUGACCCUGGAGGAAAUAUGUUUGUGCUAGAAAUGAUUAUACGUAUACAACGUUUAUAAAAACCUGGAAAUGUAUUCAGGUACAAGCACUGGGCUGGCUUGGGACGUCUUAGGGGGUAAGGACACAUCCAGGUGGUUUUGGUUUCAGUCUUGGCUUGACUAAUUAAAGGCUGCAGACAUGUCCAGAUUAUUCCUGCUUCUGACACUUUUCAUUUCACCAUGCGUGGCCUUCCUGAAAAGUGAAAGCAAUAUCAUCCCUCUUCCGGAGUUCCACGAAUGCAUACGAAAUCGACUUGAGGCGUCCAGGUCCAUGUGGUGCUGGACUGAAGAGUGUGAGGGGAGUAAAAGUAAGGACACCGUGGUUCCGUGUCUGACGCAGCUGUACGACGACGUUUACAGCGGCUCCUCUUAUCACAAAAGAGGGGAUUCUCGUGUCAGAGAAACUGUACACUGUGCAAUUCAGAGGUGUGCCGACGGACUGCUGGACCUGAACUCUCGAGGCUGGGGGGACAUGCUUCACUCCUGUCUGAAGUCGAUGGAGACCUGUCAGCACCCGGCCAGAAGAAACGAGUUGUGACGGGAACCCGCGUCAUUCCCGCCUGUCGCCACUGGGAGGCAGCGUUCUUCUCUCUUACCGAACAUGACACUUCAUUCUAUUACACUUCACUUUAAACACGUCAAAUAAUAAUCAUUUUUAUGGGUCAUUCAUUACUAUUCAUUUUCAGAAGAAUGUUUUUUUUCCAUCUCUGUACUGUCGUUGUAACUCUACAAUAAAACCGAUUGUGGACCAAAAUGAAAGUUUGGU
rnacentral:lncRNA from 1 species